ensembl:lncRNA
AGCUUGAAAGGGGCUUUGAGAUGCUGGGAUGAAAGGCGCUGGGUUGAGUACAAAGCACAGGGCAAGCUGUCCUGGGAGUGGGAGGCCUGGCCCGGGGCCUUCCCCGGCCCCCAUGCUGAGUCACUUCCUCCCUCCUGGCUGGAUUUUGCCUCUGUAACCCAGAGACACUGAACCCUCCUUUCAGGACGGCGUCUUGGGGGAUGUUCCCAGAGAGCGUGUGCAGGAUGCAGGCCUGGCAUCAACCUCGACUCACCACCAAAGGGCCCCAAGCCGGGAGGGGAGGGAGGUGUGUUGGCCUUGAUGCUGUGGGGCAGAUGCUACCACGCAUUUAUAGCUUCAUGACUCUCCUCUUAACUUGUCUGGGAGAGCGACGACUCAGGGAUGAGCAUCCCUCUGUUACACUUGAAGAAACUGAGGACCAAAGAGGUGGGAGGUUUCCCAAGGUCUCACAGCCCACCCGAGGAGAGAGCAGAUCCGAAGCCUCUGGCUCCCCACAUCCUUCCCCCAGAGGGCAGCCAGCCCCCCAUUACUCAUUCCUUUAAACAUGAGGCUCUCAUAGGAGCUUCACAGGACUGCACUGCACUUUGUAUUACCAGGGCUCUGAGGGAAGCACCAAUACUAGCUUUGCCUUCAAGGAAUUGCUCGACUAGUGUCUCUUUACUGGUCAUAAAGUAAAGGGUGAAGGAAAAAAAAAACAGUUGAACAAGGGAGUGAAGUCUUCUGGAAGGUCAGCGUGGAGAGGUGACAGCUGCCAAGGAAAGAUUCCCACGAUGGCCUCUGCCAAUGGAUUAGAACCGAGAAGUCAUCCAAGCAAGGCUGCUCCUGCUGGUCUUCAGGUGCCCUCCUUGAGACCGAGCUCCCCAGACCGGGCUGCUGGGGUUCCCUGCACCUGGUGGACCUCAAUUUCUCCCUCCUGAGGGACAGGGGUUCCCAUUCGGUGUGCCUACCAGUAGGUAGCAGUUCACAAGGCCCACUCUGAGCCAGUCCUGUGCUCAGAGAAACAAGGCAGGGUUCCCACCCUCACAGUAAAGCCGCCCAGUCUGACGGGGACGUGAUCCCAGACAGAAGGAAGGACGUCCAGGCCACGUGCUGUGGGGGCCACAGAAGGAAGGACCCACCAACUGAAGGCCCAGGAGGUUACAUGCUUGUGCUUUGGAACCGAGACCUCCCCCUUUCCGCUGUUUAAGCAUCUGCCCCCAAUUCAAGGCCGCUCCGUAAACUAACUAGACCUAGAUGGACCCAAAUCAAGCUCUAAGCAGGUUCUUCCCCUGGGAGCUUUCUCAUCCCUGGAAACCCAAAAAGGGUAAUAGCACGAGUCACCCUUGGGAGCAAGUUCUCAGACAUGAAGUCUCUGAGCAGCCCUGGCCCAGAGGGUGCACUCAGGAUGGGGCACUGUUACUUCACUUCUGGGACUUUCAAAUCCACGCUUGUUAGAAAGCAGUGGGAAGCGUUUGUGUGAACCGUGAAGAACCCUUCUAAAGCAAAGGCGGUUAAAGCCGCAGGUGUGGCUGGGGAAGGCCUUUACGAGAGGCUUACUGCGCUCAGCUGUGGCGGCGGCUUGGGUGGAGCCUGGCCUGAGGCGGGGGCUCCCUGUCCAGACCUCUCAGCUUGAAUUAGCAUCACCAUGGCGAUGGAUCAGAGUUUUCACAAGUCGACCUGGUCUUCACCCCUCAAGCAAUUAGUUCGGAGGAGAAAAGUAGGAGGAGGAGGAGGAAGAAGAGGGGAGACCCAGCAGCCCAACGCCACAAGGUCACUCCCAGGCAGCAAGCUCACCUUCAGCCCCUCCCUCCUGCAGGGACCAGGCUGUGGUAACAAUGGAGAAAGGGGAAGAGCAAACCAGAAUCUUCCAGAAUUUAAUGGAGUUGAGGAUCACUCUUUCUCCAAGACUCUGUCCGUCCCCACCUCCUCCAGGAGGCCCUUGGAUCACCUGCCACCUCUCCAGGCUCCUCACCCCCCGGGACCCUGCCAUCAUCUGUCACCAGCUUCACCCUCAGACCAACCAACAGGAAGCAAUCCUAGAUGGAGACAGGUGAUGAUACGAAAGGCUUGUCCUUGAGGAAACACAUUUAUAUGGAGCAGCCACGGCGUCGCCUUUGUCUAGAGCACCCUGGAGGAGUGUGGGCACAAUAGGCCGGAGGCGAAAGUGCCUUAAUCAGUUAUCCUCUCCCAGGAGCCCCCUUCCACCCUUUGGAGGGUGACCAGGCCAAUGCCCAGGGUCUCACUGUUGCUGGAGAACAGCUCAUGCGACUUUAGGGCCAAAGAGGUAGGCAGGGACUGAGAGAGACUCCUGAGAGCUACCCACCCCUUUCCCGAGCCCAGCCGGCAAGAUGAAUGCCUUGCCGAGGUUUCACUUUCAACUUUCUCCCCUUGGAGGGAGGUUUUAUCUCGGCCAUCACCACCCAGGAAGGCCUGGAAGCACAGCGGGGUGCUCCAGGGCAUCUGCAGCAUUUCAGCCUGCUGCACGCUUGUGCUGAGCUCCGGCUAAGGCCCCACCGUCCCAGCUGGAGACAUCUGAAGACUCCCAGCCCUGGGGUUGAAAGCUCCAGGACUGCGCGGAGGGGCUGCACAGUCCGCAGAGCCCUGGUGCCCGGCCGGGAGGAGGGAUCUUUGGGUUCUGGUCUUGACUUCCUGGGACCCCUGUGGAGCAGGGGAUCCUGUUGGAGCCAGAUCGAGUCAGAUGGCUCAGGCUCCUCGGGGAAGGGGCAGAGCAGCAGGAGGGACCCCACCCAGACAGACAGAGCAGUGGGGUUGGCACAAGCUCUGGACUCUGACAUGUGGCAUUUCAGCCCCGACUCUGCCACUGACCAGCUCUGCUACCUUGGGCUAGUCAGUUCUGCGCCACAGUUUCUCAUCUCUAAGACGGAGACAGUUAUCAGCACUCUGCCCUCUUCAGAGCGAUGCCGCGGGGAUCGAUGAGACGAGAGAAUAAAGGAGUUUGAGCUGCACACAUGAGGCAGAUGAGGCCAUUCCCUCUUCCCUGCAGCCCAGGAUGUGACAGCAGGAGGGACUAGAAAGGCCCUGCACUCAGGAGUAAUUCGGAGGCUCCUGUUUCUCCACAAGGGUCCGGGGUCUGAGUCCCAGCUCCCCUGCUCACGAGCUAGGGAACCUUGACCCAGACAUCUCAGCUCUCUGGGUCUUUGUUGCCUCUUAAUCUUUAAACUGGGAGAGGAAGAGCUGGGACUAAAUGAUUGCCAACCUCUGCAUUUGGUCCCUGGUCCCUCCAACGCAGAUUCCAAGGUCUGAAUUCCCCCUGCUAUCCUCUCUUACUCUCAGCCAAAGGGCGACUGGGGUAGAGGGCACGGGGCUCCUGGUGAACGCGCCCGCUGGCAGGCAGCUGAGAACGGCUGCAGAUGGGGACAGAGGACAGGACUCACCAAGUGCCAGGGAUGGCAAAGGACCCAAAAUGAGCCUACAACCACUCCUUAUAUCACAUGGGCAAGAGAUGGGGCCUUGGAGAUGCCAAAGGGGGAGGCUCCUUUGUUCUGCGGCUCCUUGUGCUAUCUGUCUGUCCUUUCAUUCCAUCUUCCAUUUUCAUUCACUCGCCUGUGCCUGCUGUAAACAUUGAUAAAGCCGUUACAGCACGUCAGGCACCGUCCUGGGUGUUGGGAAUACAGAAUUGAGUAAGUUCACAGCCUCAUGGGGGCCAACGAGAGAUAUAAACAGACGGUUCCUACCCAGAUUGAGCAGUGCUGGGAGAGCAGCCUGCGCUGGGGGCCGCCGGGCACGGAGGAGGGCCUGCGCCCAGCCGCGUGGGACAGCUCCUUCCUCAGACCUCUCACUCAGCUUGCGGAGACGAUGGGAAAAUACAGACGUUGCUUGGUGCCCAACAGCUUAGAGGGUGGUAAAGAAAAAAAAUGCCCGAGAGAAAGGUUACGGGGUAGGAUAAUUAAUGUUUUGCUAAGGAGGAAAAUAUUACUGUGUGUUGCUCAGCAUGCAAACACCUCAACUAACAAAAUGGCUGGGAGAAAACAAGUGGAACUGCAGGAUUUUUCUCACAAAGAUUAAAAGAAAAGAAAAAGACAGCAGUCACAGACAUACCUCCUCCCGUGGCUGAAAGAAUGUUCCCCGCCAGGUGAGGAAAGCAAGGCCCAGCGCUGGGAAGGGCCCAGCUGCCGCUCCUUCCUGGACGAAGGCCGGCCCAGCACACAAACCCCGCACCCCAGCCCCUGGCCCACUGCCAUUUCAUGUUAAGGCUCUCCUCUCAGUGUCUGAGGCCCGGGGAGCUGCUGUACACACUGCUUGACCAUUGUAAGGAAGAAGAGAUUUCUAAUUCCAGAGGGUGCAUCCAGC